rnacentral:rRNA from 1 species
AACGAACGCUGGCGGCAUGCCUAACACAUGCAAGUCGAACGAAACCAAGGCUUCGGCCUGAAGUUUAGUGGCGCACGGAUGCGUAACGCGUGGGAAUCUGCCCUUGGGUUCGGAAUAACUCAGAGAAAUUUGAGCUAAUACCGGAUGAUGACGUAAGUCCAAAGAUUUAUCGCCCAAGGAUGAGCCCGCGUAAGAUUAGCUUGUUGGUGAGGUAAAGGCUCACCAAGGCGACGAUCUUUAGCUGGUCUGAGAGGAUGAUCAGCCACACUGGGACUGAGACACGGCCCAGACUCCUACGGGAGGCAGCAGUCGGGGGAAUAUUGGACAAUGGGCGAAAGCCUGAUCCAGCAAUGCCGCGUGAGUGAUGAAGGCCUUAGGGUUGUAAAGCUCUUUUACCCUAGGGAUGGAUAAUGACAGUACCUGGAGAAUAAGCUCCGGCUAACUCCGUGCCAGCAGCCGCGGUAAU